UGCAAUGGAAAAAGUUUGACGCGGUUUGGCGGGGGUUUGGAUUUUGUAGCUCUCGGAGUUCCCAGGGAGACUCUUCCAUCUUGGACACGAACGAGGGGGAAUUUGAAUUUCUCCGUGAAGCAGAACCCUCCCUGCCAGGACGGUGAGCUGGGAGGCGGUUCCGUCUCGGAUGGUGACAUUUGUUCCCCUGGCGUGGAUUGGGCUCCCGGCCAGCUGGUUCCGAGUGGACCGCGAGUGGGCGGAGUCCCACAAGCUUCUAGGGGCCCUGUGGAGUCGGCUAAGCUGACCCCGCCCCUCCCCGCGCCACGGAGGCAGCGGGGCAGGGUGGAAUAGCCCUCCCUUUGUGCCUUCCCAGCGCUGGGGGCUGCAGGGAGCCCCUGGCUCAGCCUCCGCCUCUGCUUGAAUCUGAUUCGGUGACAACACUUUGUCCGAAUUGCAGCGUUUCCACGAGAUACCCUCUGAGCGCAGCGCGAGCAGUUUGCAGAGAGGAUGACUGGCUCUGUGGAGAAGUAGGUGGCAAAUCCUGAGACAAGGAAGCUUGUGAUUACAAACCUUGCAAGAUGUAACUGCAAUGACGAUUGUGGGAGAAUCAUAGAGGCUCUUCCUGGUGAUCCUUCUGUCUCCAUGAUGGCGGAGGCCUGUGCAAAGAUAGGCACAUCAGGUCAUAAGACGGCUGCCUUGGGUACUGCUGUGCAGCCAGUCCGGGCAGUGCCACAGGGCAGGCAACGACAGCAGAGGAAUGCUCAGGCCAGCAAGAAACAGGGAAAGAAGGCACAGAAGGUCACAACUCCUUUGUUUUCGUGUGGUCAGUGUGGAAGGCCAAACCAUACCGCAAAUGUCUGCAAGGCGACUCAACAUGUUAAUGGCCAGGCUUUGCUGGGCUCAGGAAACGGGAAGAGGAGCGUGAGGGGAGACGCGCCCAGACACAAGCUUCUCUCCAAGCCCCGGUGCCGAUGGAGGUCUGCUCAGCCAACUUGCAGCCAGCACCCACGGCUCAGCAGGUGUUGAUGUCUACACAGCAGCAACAGUUGUUUUAGAAUCUUGUAAAAUACACAAGGUUCCCCUGGAUGCCUUUGAUCCCUUGGGUGGGGGCAUGAGCGCUCUCCUGAUGGGGAGGUCUAGUGCCACCCUUCAGGGCAUCGUUGUGCACCUGGGACUCAUUGAUGCAGACUUCACAGGGCAGAUUUGUGCAAUGGUUUCCACACCCACCCCCCCAUCAGGAUCCCGAAAGGGAUGCGACUUGCUCAACUUGUGCCUUUUAAGUCUUCUGUUUGCAGGACAGCUGACCGAUUGUGUGGAGCUGGCGGCUUUGGAUCCAGUGGGCUGCCUCAAGUUCACUGGACCUCUGUCCUGACCAAAGAACGUCCCGAGAUGAUGUGUACCCUGUCCAUCCCUGGUGAAACACUGCUGGAGAUCUGCCUCUGCAGGCUUCCUAACAGCAGCGUGGACGACCCAGUUCAGUCCCUUGCCACUUGGCCCCCGGAGUGGCCCCUGAAUCUGGUGGAGAUGCCUGUUGCAGGAUUGGGAGGAAUGGCACAAUGUUACGUGAGCCAGCGGCCCGUGCUGGUCGUGAACAUGGAGGGACAGAGGGCCUUGGCUUGGCCUCAUGUUACUUCAACUCCUGCUAACCUCUGGGGAAGGAAUGUUCUGUCUGUGUGGGGGGUGUGCAUCGGGAUGGGUUUUUGAUGUGGGCCACUGCGAUGAAGGGCACGAACUGUCCUACACCUCCUAUACGGUGGCUGGUAGACAAACCCAUCUGGGAGAACCAGUGGCCCCUCCCUCAAGAUAAAUUGGUCACCCUUCAAAAUCUGGUGCAGGAGCAGUUGGACCAGGGUCAUCUGGAGCCUUCUACCAGUCCCUGGAAUACUCCUGUUUUCUGCAUCAAGAAAAAAUCUGGGAUAUGGAGGUUGUUACAAGACCUCAGAGAGGUCUUUUUAUGUAAAUAAUUAUUUACAUUCUUCUCUAGAGGAGGAAAAAUUCGAUGGACUGUUGGUUUGUCCAGUGUCAUUAGAGAGGUAACACUUUCAUCCUCCAAUCCACUGUCUCUUUUGAAAGUCUAUAAAUGUUGGAGUCAGUAAAUAAACUUCCCUUCUUUUUACCUUGGA